UUAGUGGCGCACGGGUGCGUAACGCGUGGGAAUCAGCCCCUUGGUUCGGAAUAACAGUUGGAAACGACUGCUAAUACCGGAUGACGACGUAAGUCCAAAGAUUUAUCGCCGAGGGAUGAGCCCGCGUAGGAUUAGGUAGUUGGUGUGGUAAAGGCGCACCAAGCCGACGAUCCUUAGCUGGUCUGAGAGGAUGAUCAGCCACACUGGGACUGAGACACGGCCCAGACUCCUACGGGAGGCAGCAGUGGGGAAUAUUGGACAAUGGGCGAAAGCCUGAUCCAGCAAUGCCGCGUGAGUGAUGAAGGCCUUAGGGUUGUAAAGCUCUUUUACCCGGGAUGAUAAUGACAGUACCGGGAGAAUAAGCUCCGGCUAACUCCGUGCCAGCAGCCGCGGUAAUACGGAGGGAGCUAGCGUUAUUCGGAAUUACUGGGCGUAAAGCGCACGUAGGCGGCUUUGUAAGUAAGAGGUGAAAGCCCAGAGCUCAACUCUGGAAUUGCCUUUUAGACUGCAUCGCUUGAAUCAUGGAGAGGUCAGUGGAAUUCCGAGUGUAGAGGUGAAAUUCGUAGAUAUUCGGAAGA
rnacentral:rRNA from 1 species